CCUACGAGCGGCAGCAGUGAGGAAUAUUGGUCAAUGGGCGCUAGCCUGAACCAGCCAAGUAGCGUGAAGUAUGACUGCCCUAUGGGUUGUCAACUUCUUUUAUAUGGGAAUAAAGUGCAGUAUGUAUACUGCUUUUCAUGUACCUUAUGAAUACGGAUCGGCUAACUCCGUUCCAGCAGCCGUGGUAAUACGGAGGAUCCGAGCGUUAUCCGGAUUUCAUGGGUUUAAAGGGAGCGUAGGUGGAUUGUUAAGUCAGUUGUGAAAGUUUGCGGCUCAACCGUAAAAUUGCAGUUGAAACUGGCAGUCUUGAGUACAGUAGAGGUGGGCGGAAUGCGUGGUGGAGCGGUGAAAUGCUUAGAGAUCACGAAGAACUCCGAUUGCGAAGGCAGCUCACUGGACUGCAACUGACACUGAGGCACGAAAGUGUGGGUAUCAAACAGGAUUAGAUACCCGUGUAGUC
rnacentral:rRNA from 1 species